UCGAACGGCAGCACGGGGGCAACCCUGGUGGCGAGUGGCGAACGGGUGAGUAAUAUAUCGGAACGUGCCCUGGAGUGGGGGAUAACUAGUCGAAAGACUAGCUAAUACCGCAUACGAUCUACGGAUGAAAGUGGGGGAUCGCAAGACCUCAUGCUCGUGGAGCGGCCGAUAUCUGAUUAGCUAGUUGGUAGGGUAAAAGCCUACCAAGGCAUCGAUCAGUAGCUGGUCUGAGAGGACGACCAGCCACACUGGGACUGAGACACGGCCCAGACUCCUACGGGAGGCAGCAGUGGGGAAUUUUGGACAAUGGGGGCAACCCUGAUCCAGCAAUGCCGCGUGAGUGAAGAAGGCCUUCGGGUUGUAAAGCUCUUUUGUCAGGGAAGAAACGGUCCGGGCUAAUAUCCUGGGCUAAUGACGGUACCUGAAGAAUAAGCACCGGCUAACUACGUGCCAGCAGCCGCGGUAAUACGUAGGGUGCAAGCGUUAAUCGGAAUUACUGGGCGUAAAGCGUGCGCAGGCGGUUGUGCAAGACAGAUGUGAAAUCCCCGGGCUUAACCUGGGAAUUGCAUUUGUGACUGCACGGCUAGAGUGUGUCAGAGGGGGGUAGAAUUCCACGUG
rnacentral:rRNA from 1 species